GCGCCCAUCGUCUAGCGGUUAGGACGCCGCCCUCUCACGGCGGUAACACGGGUUCGAGUCCCGUUGGGCGUA
rnacentral:tRNA from 4 species